AAAAGCUGCCAGGCUGGCUUCUUGCUUGAAAGCACCAUGUAAUUUGAUGACUUUUUGAUGGUGAUGAAUUGUGAAUCAGAGGAACACAAAUUCCAGCCCAGAGUGUUGAUCAGAUCAAAUCCAGUCUGUUGUAAUCCUGAUCGGUUUCGUGAAGCCAUGAAGCCUUGUGAAGCUUUUUGUUUGAUGGAUCAAAGCAACUCUGUCCACGAGGCUGUAAGGAACGAGGAACUCCUUCAAGUGUCAUUUUAUGUCAUUAACAAUUUUCAGAAGGUAUUACAGAUAGGGCGGAGUGAUUAGAAUUGAGAGGAGGGGAUCUUUUCCCCUUCCAGGAAUAUCCCAUGAGACUUUGUUAGUGUGUGAAGUUUCAUCUGAUUAAUGGGGGCAGAAGAUGACUUUCUGUUCUAUGGUAAAUUGCUUUAGCUAAAUCAAGUGUGCAG
rnacentral:lncRNA from 1 species